rnacentral:rRNA from 1 species
UACAGAGGUCUCAAGCGUUGUUCGGAUUCAUUGGGCGUAAAGGGUGCGUAGGUGGCGGGGUAAGUCGGAUGUGAAAUCCCGGGGCUCAACCCCGGAACUGCAUUCGAUACUGCCUUGCUUGAGUACUGGAGAGGAGAUUGGAAUUUACGGUGUAGCAGUGAAAUGCGUAGAUAUCGUAAGGAAGACCAGUGGCGAAGGCGAAUCUCUGGACAGUUACUGACACUGAGGCACGAAGGCCAGGGGAGCAAACGGG